UACGUAGGGUGCAAGCGUUAAUCGGAAUUACUGGGCGUAAAGCGUGCGCAGGCGGUUUUGUAAGUUUUGUCGUGAAAUCCCCCGGGCUCAACCUGGGAAUGGCGAUGAAGACUGCAAGGCUAGAAUCUGGCAGAGGGGGGGGUAGAAUUCCACGUGUAGCAGUGAAAUGCGUAGAGAUGUGGAGGAACACCGAUGGCGAAGGCAGCCCCCUGGGUCAAGAUUGACGCUACAUGCACGAA
rnacentral:rRNA from 1 species